UACGGAGGAUGCGAGCGUUAUCCGGAUUUAUUGGGUUUAAAGGGUGCGUAGGCGGAGUGCCAAGUCAGCGGUAAAAAUUCGGGGCUCAACCCCGUCGUGCCGUUGAAACUGGCGCCCUUGAGUGGGCGAGAAGUAUGCGGAAUGCGUGGUGUAGCGGUGAAAUGCAUAGAUAUCACGCAGAACCCCGAUUGCGAAGGCAGCAUACCGGCACCCGACUGACGCUGAAGCACGAAAGCGUGGGUAUCGAACCGG
rnacentral:rRNA from 1 species